rnacentral:rRNA from 1 species
AGUGAACGCUGGCGGCGUGCCUAACACAUGCAAGUCGAACGAGACUGCCUGAGAUUACAUCAACUGGCAGUCUAGUGGCAGACGGGUGAUUAACACAUGAGUCAUCUACCCUCAAGUGGAAAAUAACCCCGAGAAAUCGGGGCUAAUGUUCCAUAAGACCACAGUCCUUUAACCGGGACAGAGGUCAAAGGUCCGCAAGGAUCGCUUGUGGAGGAGCUCGUGGCCUAUCAGCUAGUUGGUGAGGUAACGGCUCACCAAGGCUAAGACGGGUAGCCGGCCUGAAAGGGCGAUCGGCCACACUGGAACUGAGACACGGUCCAGACUCCUACGGGAGGCAGCAGUGGGGAAUUUUGGACAAUGGGGGCAACCCUGAUCCAGCAACGCCGCGUGGAGGAUGAAGGUCUUCGGAUUGUAAACUCCUUUUGCAGGGGACGAAUCACUGCGUGAAUAGCGCAGAAUGACGGUACCCUGCGAAUAAGCAACGGCUAACUUCGUGCCAGCAGCCGCGGUAAUACGAAGGUUGCAAGCGUUACUCGGAAUUACUAGGUGUAAAGCGCAGGUAGCUGGUUGGAUAAGUCUGCAAUGAAAUCUCCCGGCCUAACUGGGAGGGGUUUGUAGAUACUGUCCGACUCGAGUGUGGGA